UUUUUACUGGAGGAAGGUGGGGAUGACGUCAAAUCAUCAUGCCCCUUAUGACCUGGGCUACACACGUGCUACAAUGGACGAUACAAAGAGUCGCAAACUCGCGAGGGCAAGCUAAUCUCAUAAAAUCGUUCUCAGUUCGGAUUGUAGGCUGCAACUCGCCUGCAUGAAGCCGGAAUCGCUAGUAAUCGUAGAUCAGCAUGCUACGGUGAAUACGUUCCCGGGCCUUGUACACACCGCCCGUCACACCACGAGAGUUUGUAACACCCGAAGUCGGUGGGGUAACCAUUUAUGGAGCCAGCCGCCUAAGGUGGGAUAGAUGAUUGGGGUGAAGUCGAAUCAUGG
rnacentral:rRNA from 1 species